UACAGAGGCCUCGAGCGUUAGGCGGAAUCACUGGGCUUAAAGCGUGUGUAGGCGGACUUCUAAGUACCUUGUGAAAUCCCACGGCUUACCCGUGGAACUGCUGGGUAUACUGGUUGUCUUGAGCCGUCUAGGGGCGAGUGGAACAAAUGGUGGAGCGGUGAAAUGCGUAGAUAUCGUCUGGAACGCCGAAGGUGAAAACAGCUACGCUGGGGGCUGCGCUGACGCUGAGACACGAAAGCCAGGGGAGCGAACGGG
rnacentral:rRNA from 1 species